rnacentral:rRNA from 1 species
AUUGAACGCUGGCGGCAGGCCUAACACAUGCAAGUCGAACGAGUGGCGGACGGGUGAGUAAUGUAUGGGAAACUGCCUGAUGGAGGGGGAUAACUACUGGAAACGGUGGCUAAUACCGCAUACUAUCGGAUGUGCCCAGAUGGGAUUAGCUAGUAGGUGGGGUAACGGCUCACCUAGGCGACGAUCCCUAGCUGGUCUGAGAGGAUGAUCAGCCACACUGGAACUGAGACACGGUCCAGACUCCUACGGGAGGCAGCAGUGGGGAAUAUUGCACAAUGGGCGCAAGCCUGAUGCAGCCAUGCCGCGUGUAUGAAGAAGGCCUUCGGGUUGUAAAGUACUUUCAGCGGGGAGGCGUUACCCGCAGAAGAAGCACCGGCUAACUCCGUGCCAGCAGCCGCGGUAAUAC